rnacentral:rRNA from 1 species
UACGUAGGGGGCAAGCGUUGUCCGGAUUUAUUGGGCGUAAAGAGCGUGUAGGCGGCCAUGCAGGUCCGUUGUGAAACUCGAGCUCAACCUCGAGACGCCGAUGGAAACCGCAUGGCUAGAGUCCGGAAGAGGAGAGUGGAAUUCCGUGGUGUAGCGGUGAAAUGCGCAGAUAUCAGGAAGAACACCCGUGGCUAAGGCGGCUCUCUAGUACGGUACUGACGCUGAGACGCGAAAGCGUGGGGAGCGAACAGG